rnacentral:rRNA from 1 species
CCUUCGGGGUGCAGCAGGCGCGAAAACUCUACAAUGCAGGCAACUGCGAUAGGGGAACAUCGAGUGAUACUCAUCUUGGGUGUCUGUCCUCCCGUCUAAAAAACGGGAGUUAGCAAGGGCCGGGCAAGACCGGUGCCAGCCGCCGCGGUAAUACCGGCGGCUCGAGUGGUGGCCGAUAUUAUUGAGUCUAAAGGGUCCGUAGCCGGCUUUGCAAGUCUUUUGGGAAAUCCAGCGGCUUAACCGUUGGUCGUCCGGGAGAUACUACAUUGCUUGGGACUGGGAGAGGUAGGAGGUACUCAGGGGGUAGGAGUGAAAUCCUGUAAUCCUUUGGGGACCACCGGUGGCGAAGGCGUCCUACCAGAACAGGUCCGACGGUGAGGGACGAAAGCUAGGGGCACGAACCGGAUUAGAUACCCGGGUAGUCCUAGCCGUAAACGAUGCUCGCUAGGUGUCACAACAAUCGUGAAUUGUUGUGGUGCCGUAGGGAAGCCGUGAAGCGAGCCACUUGGGAAGUACGACCGCAAGGUUGAAACUUAAAGGAAUUGGCGGGGGAGCAC